AAAAAGUAUAUUGCAUCCACCCAAGGAGCUAUGCUUGCAGAAUCGGAAAAAACGGAAAGAGCACAACUGAAAUCACAAAUAAAAAAAGGGUAGUAUACUGUCCCUCAAAUACUUGCAACCUGCAUCCCCACCCAAGGAACCAUCACACUUAAUGAAUUGGAGAUUUCUCUGUAUGCACAUAUCAGUGUGUAUUAUGAUCGUGCAAAAAGUCGCAGAGUGCCUUAUACCUCACACUCUCUAUAGUAGACAAAACUCUUGGUGUCAAACAGAAAUUAACUCAGUUGUACACCACACACUGUUGAAUGUAUCUUACUGUAAUGUUUCACAUAAGCAAUGACUACAUUAAACCUGUUCCACAUUAAACAUUAUGUAGUCUGCAUACUAGUGUUUAUCUGAAUACGAGAAGCUAGUGACAUAAAGUGGAAAAAAACUGUGACUAAGGACACUUAGAUGAUGAAUGGAAUUGUAACUCUGUACUGUUUGUGCCAUAACAUAUUUGUGUGUGUGUGUGUGCGUGCGUGCGUGUGUGUAUGUGUGUGUGCUGCAGCAGGCGGAAUGCAGGCAGCAUGCAUACAGCACGGUACAUUUCUGUCUCUAGUGAGAAAACAAGUUACACAACAGCCAUGUGCCACUAAGGAAAAGUUGUAUGAAGGUGACUAAACAAACAAGGAGUUGAGAUGUGGACCCAGCCAGUGGUGAGUGAUUCAGAGCCUCAGAACUCCAUAAGUGGUUAGAUUUGGUAGCACGAGGAGGAGGAUGCUGAAAUCCUGUUGAAAACACUGCUGCUCUUGCAAAACUACUGUCUCUUUCCCUGAGCUCAACAUGCCACUGAUGCGUGUCAUGUGAUGACUUCUAAGUUGAAGAUGUAUGAAAUUUAAUUUUUGCUGAGCCUUAUUGCUGUAAUUACUGUACUCUACCGUUUUUAAAUUGUUCUACAACAAGUAGAACUUUAAAACUUAAACUUGUACCAUGUUGUUAGUCGCUUUGGUUAAAAAUACGUCAGCCAAAUGUAAUGUAAUGUAAUUAGCUCCAUGCUACUGGCAGUGUAAUCUCUGUUGUCUCUGCUGUCUUAGACAUUGGUUGGAUGUGACCUUGUUGACUAGAGACAAGGCCUUUGGCACAGUGAAAUCUGAUUAUCUCCCAGUAUGCUUCAUGCUUCACAACAUUACAACCACAAAACAUCACUGGUUAUUAGUGGUGUGAAGAAAAUCCAAAAGAGAACCAAACAAAACAACAUUGGGCACAAUUUAUCUUAUUUUAUCAGUUUAUCUUAUUUUAUUUUAUUGUUAUCCUCUGCUGACUUUAUAAUUCUCAGACCCCUCCAUGCUAAUUCGCCGCCAACAACUUUCCAGCGUGACACCCACAAGACACACCACUUCCUCCCAGCCAGCUAAGAAGAGAGCUCUGUAUUCAGAGUUUCCUCUGCAAAGAGGCUCUCGGCCGUGGGAGGAGUUCACUCUGCACAUCCUCUGUUUGUUCCAUUUUACAGCUUUCACUUCCUGUCCACUCCCAGUCUCAAGCCGAGGGCCUGCGUAGUUGUAUUAUCUCAGUAAACACCUAGGGGGUCUCUAUAACACCAAUACAAAAUUCAGUUUCCCUCCAUCAACAAACAGUGAUGUGAUAUCCAGUGUGCUUUUGUCAAAGCCAUUGUGCCUUUGAGAGGCUUACUCUAGAUGGUAUCAGUUCAUUAUAAAGACUUUAUUUGAUUA